AUUGCAAACAUCCGGCGACUAGAAUGGAUGCCAGGGACUUCAGCUGAGCCAGAACCAGCCUCCAGAAGGAACGUGUGCCAGAGCAUUAUAUCAGGCUCAGUAUGGGAUGACUGAGAAUUGGACAUUUCCUCAAACCGUGUAAACAUUGAGGUACGGCGAAGGUUCAUCCUUCGCCAAAGGAGACGAUGUUCUCAUAACUCCACUGUGCAUUGUCCUAUCACCACCAAACUUCUGUCUCGUGAUCAGAGUCCAAGCCUGAAUCUGCCUGAGUCUCAAUGAAAUUCGCCCUUUGCUCCACCAGCUACUGGUCAAGUCUUGAAGCUCUCAAAGGUCUUGGCAUCAUACAUGGAGACUUCAAAGUGGACAACCUGAUGCUUGUCAAUCACAGAGAUCAUCCAUUCAAGCUCCGGCUGAUUGACUUUGGUCUGGCCAUUCCAGAGAGUGAUGCAGAACUUGGACAUCUGGUGCAGAAUCCUCAAUUCAGGGCUCCGG